UACGAAGGUGGCAAGCGUUACUCGGAAUUACUAGGCGUAAAGGGCAGGUAGGUGGUUUGAUAAGUCUGUUGUGUAAGCUCCCGGCUUAACUGGGAGAGGUCAACGGAAACUGUCAGGCUUGAGUAUAGGAGAGGUUACUGGAAUUCCCGGUGUAGCGGUGAAAUGCGCAGAUAUCAGGAGGAACACCGGUGGCGAAGGCGGGUCUCUGGGCCGAUACUGACGCUGAGGAGCGAAAGCGUGGGGAGCGAACAGG
rnacentral:rRNA from 1 species